UGUGGGAACUCAAAGGAGAAGUACCCUCUGGUUGGAAAACACCCCAGGAGAGGCAGCUUCAAGGAGCUGGCAUGUGGAUGAAAAUGUUUAGCAUGAGCAAGCUUUAUCCUGGUCAGGGGCAGGCAGUGGGCAUUCCAGGCAGAGGGAGUGGCCCUGGAAAAAGGGAGAAGGGCUCAAUGGACAUGGCUUGUUUCUGCUUCUCAUGGCAACAGAUAUAGUCAUGAGAUUGGAGCUGGAGGACGCGUUUCCAAGGUGACUCGAUCAUCCUUGCUGGUCUCCCCCUGCUGUGAGCUCCACCAGGCAGUAGAUGGCCCUCUAGUUCUGACGUCAACUCUGAGCCCUCUUCAUUAGGACACUGGGAAGAAGCUGUAGCCAGUUCCAUGAAGAAACCCAUUGACUCGGAGGGGUUUCUUCUUCACUUUGAGCCAAGUUCAGUGGUACUUUUGUCCAAUGAGAUUCAUUCUGAGACUGUGCCUGCAAUAUGCUAAUGAAGAUACACAGAAACAAAUCUUCUGAAUGAGGCUUCCAAAUUGAAGAAAGAGGAUUACUUUGCUUGCCUGUGAUUGGUUUCUGUAGAAGAGCAGGGUUGGUUUCUGUAGAAGAGCAGAACGGAAGCACCUUCACCACUCUAUACCAAUGGCAUUUCUGAGUGGACAAGCUGAAAUUCAGUAAUGUCUCCAAGCAUCGUGGUUCUUCUCUCAAAAUGAACUUUGAGGCUGCUAACCCUGCAUGACGUAGCCUACAGGACACUCCACUCCCUCCCUGUUCUCAUCAAACAAGAGAAGUUGCACAAGCUGGAGGGGCAGCUGGAUCACAGUUUAUGCUGCCCCCAGGAUACAUCUUUCAUCCUAAUGGUGCUUAUUCAGCUGUGGGGAUGCAUUGGUAUCUAGCUGAUUUUUGAAAAAGUGCAAAAAUCCAUUUAAAAACACAACCAAAUCCUCCUUUUGAGAUAGGGGCCUUGUGUGGGGGUGGGGAGGAAAAGGAUGAGAAAAAUUUCCAUCUUAUUUUCUGAUAUUCUUUGCUUUGUGGGUGAAUACUUACCGAGAUGCCUGCAGGCGGUUUUCCAGAGCCCGUUUCUGAUCAAAGUCAAUAAAGCUCUUUCUCUAUGUAGGAAGGAAGCUCUCUUUUAGACUACUUUCUUACUUUGUGCUUUCUUAUGUAGAUAAGUCAUCUAAAAUCACACAACCACAGGUCCUUAUCUGUCAGGGCCUGGUAGCUAGCACUAGUGACAUUUUUUUUAAUCCAAUAAACAUGAAUUAAGUUAUUUCGAUGGUGCCAGGCACUGAGACAGCUAUAAAUUAGGGAUAGAGGGAUUCAGAGGAAAAACAAACAGCUGCCUUUCUAUUUGUGUGUGUGUGUUCCUACUAUGUGCCAGGUACAGUAACUUUUGUGUAAUAGUAAUGAGAAAAAGCAAUUUAAAAAUUAUUUCCAUUUUAUAGAAAUGUAGAAGUGGAAACUCUGGGAAGUGAAAUAAUUUCCCUAAGAUCAUUCAGGAAGGUAUUCAGUGUUUGAGCUGAGCUUUCUGAUAUUGGCCACUAGAGAGGAGUGGAAUAAAGAAGAAAGGGCACCUUGGGAAGAAUUAUUGGUAUAACAAAAGCAGGGGGUGGUGAUGGGGAGAUGGGAGGGCCAGAUCAGGUUCUGCAAAGAGUUUUGUGCAUUGUCAUUUGAACCGUAAUGAGAGAGAAGGUUGGAUUGGGAGGAAAACUUGAUAACAUGAAGUAAGGUUUGGAAUACUAAGCUCUGCCAGUUGAAAUUCAUUCUUAAACACCUG